UACGAAGGGGCGAGCGUUGUUCGGAUUUACUGGGCGUAAAGGGCGCGCAGGCGGUCUUGAAAGUCAGGCGUGAAAGCCCCGGCUUAACCUGGGAAUUGCGCUUGAUACUCUGAGACUGGAGUACGGGAGAGGAGAGUGGAAUUCCCAGUGUAGAGGUGAAAUUCGUAGAUAUUGGGAAGAACACCAGUGGCGAAGGCGGCUCUCUGGACCGUAACUGACGCUGAGGCGCGAAAGCGUGGGAGCAAACAGGG
rnacentral:rRNA from 1 species